UGCAUCUGUGCCUGCCCAGGCAUGACAGGGCUCAGAGCAGUCCUAGGCUGGCCUAUGCUGAAGAAAAUGCCUGUCACACAGAAGGUUGGUGAGAACCCAGUGAGAUAAUCCUUGUAAAAGGCUUUGGAGAGCUUUAAACACAGCACAAGAAUGAGGAGCAGUUACAAUCAGACUCAACAAUGAAACGGAUCCUUUCUUGUCGCUGAAAGAAUUCACAAAGAAGCUGGCACACAUCCACCCACCAGGCCUAGCGUGAACUCAGAGGCACAGUCAAGAUCCUGAAAUGUUUUCCUGAUCAUCUGAGAAAGCUGGCA